rnacentral:rRNA from 1 species
UACGUAGGGGGCAAGCGUUGUCCGGAAUCAUUGGGCGUAAAGAGCGUGUAGGCGGCCCGAUAAGUCCGCCGUGAAAGUCCAGGGCUCAACCCUGGAAUGCCGGUGGAUACUGUCGGGCUAGAGUCCGGAAGGGGCGAGUGGAAUUCCUGGUGUAGCGGUGAAAUGCGCAGAUAUCAGGAGGAACACCGAUGGCGAAGGCAGCUCGCUGGGACGGUACUGACGCUGAGACGCGAAAGCGUGGGGAGCGAACAGG